GGGACAGCGGGGCGGGAUCGGCACACGGCGGGUGAGGUGGUCGGGUUCGGGCGGGUGCGGUCGGAGGCGGGGGCACCCGGGGGGCUAUAGCGCACGGCCUCGGGGGCCGCAAAGAAGGGGCCGUAACUCAUGAUCGGGGCCCCCGAUUCCGUUUCCGUUUCGUCCCACGGGACCAGCGGUCCGGGGGCAUCGGGAUGGGGGGGUAGCCGUGCGGCGGUUUGAUCGCCGAAAAAUGGGUAAGAUCGGGGCCGCUUAGUAGGCUUUGCCGGUUUCGGCCGUAACUCAUGAUCCGGGCCUCCGAUUCCGUUUCCGUUUGGUCCCACGGGACCAGCGGUCC
rnacentral:lncRNA from 1 species